GCCCCUGGGAACAGAAAGUAGUCCAGCCCACUACAAAAGGGGCUGCGUGAGCCCUCCUCUCUCUCUCUCAACCUCUCACUCUUCUCGUCUUUACUCUCACCUCUUGCUCCCUUUCUCCCCUUCCCCCUACCCCCACCCCCUGGGCCUCCAAUUUAUUCUCAGCUCUUCCCCGUGUACUGCGAUGCCCAGGACCUAGAACCUACCUGACCUCCUUGGCCUCCGUGAGGCCCAUGGACCACGAGACUGGUUCCCUCUCCACCCCUGAGGACUGGGAUAGAGGCUUCCCACAGCCAGAUGCUCACCCAGAGUGGAGACCGCGCGCAGCAGCCUCCCACGUCUGCCCGGCCAAUGUACAGUGUCUCCUGAGCUCCAGCUCUCCCAGGGUACCCAGCAGUCUUUGGUGCACAAGAGUUGGAGCAGAGAUUGGGCCUCCCUAUCUCCAGGAGCGGCUGACGCCUGUCCUGGAAUAGUACAGUAGGGUCCUGUACCAGUCUCCCGAGCUCUGGAGGUGAGGUGAGGUGCCUGAGUUCAUGCUGCUGCCUGCAUGGUCUGGUCACUAUUCAAAGCCAGCUUUCCCUUCCUUCCUGCUACACUUCCUGCCACGGCUGGGAUACUUGGGAGCCUGGACUCAGUGCCAGCCGUAUGUCCAGAACACCAACGCCCACUAGUGGAACCCUGACAUCACCUGUUACCCAGCUACCUGUGUCCUUUUAAGGCCCCCAUUUUCACCUGAAUGUGUUAAAAGCAGCUACCCCACCCCCCAGCACUCUAGCUUCAAGAAGGGAGUCUACUUUGUCAGGGGUGCUGAAGAUGGCCUGGCCUGCUUUCUCUUCUCAAAGGCACCACACUUCAGGAUGCGCACGAAGAAGAUCCAGGUCAAAGUCUUCGUCAAAGUACUCGUCAGGCGUGAUGGCUGUGGGGUUGUUCACAGUGGCACACUCCGUCGUGAGGUCCUGCUGAGCCAGAACUAAGGAGAGUCAAGACUGCCUGACUUUAAAGCACAGGCCUACUACAGCUUCAUGAAGAGGUGCUCUGUGCGGAUCUUGGUUAUCACGUUCACAUUGUUUACCGAGUAAACCUUGAGGGAUGUAUGCAAGAGACAGUUGUGACACAGGGGACUGAAAGCCAACACACUCACAGCAAGACCAAGAAUGCUGAAGUUGGCAAGUCAAGCAAAUCCAGCAAAAUAAAAUCGAGAACUGGCCAACAGCCUCAGCCCCUCAGAUAGACAGCUCCGGCCGCCAGUUACUCUGCACCCUCAGGCUAAAGGGGCUUGGCGGGUGUCCUGCAGAUAGGGUGUCCACCGGGCUCCUGGCUCCUGUGACCUGUGGUGCUCUCCUGACAAUACCGACUAAGCCAGUCCUAGGCUCUCUAGACCUGGGAGACCAGGGAAAACCAGCAUUCUUUCUACUGACAAGAAAAGAUUCUGAUUGCCAGAGGGAGCACUUGCUGUCUGUCAGGCGGUGUGUUGAUAGCUGCGCAGACCUCACUCUGCACCACAGCAGCUGUUUCUAAAUGCAUCUUGCUGAGCAUGAUGGAGCUGUUUUUGCUCCCUCAAAGGCCAGCAGAAGACCCUACUGCACCUGGCUCCCUCCAUCCCUGCUGUACACUAAGGAAAGGCUAGCAAGCAGCCUUCAGCUGACGCAAUACCAGAUGAUCCCACAGACGCCCUGUCGCUGCUGCAGGGUUUCCAGGACUAACGCCACCCACAGACACCCCGUCGCUGCUGCAGGGUUUCCAGGACUAACGCCGCUGCAGCCAUUUCUUUUCUUUUCUUUUCUUUUUUAAGAGCUGAGGCUUCAGCUAAAGAAAUUACCUAAAGCUUAAGUAACAAAGGAUCACAUAAGCUAUUUCCUACAUGAUAUCUUCUUUAAAAGAGAUAAACUGACUAAAUUCAA